rnacentral:rRNA from 1 species
UACGGAGGGUGCGAGCGUUGUCCGGAAUCACUGGGCGUAAAGGGCGCGUAGGUGGCGCGGGCAGUCAACGGUGAAAGUUCGGGGCUCAACCCUGAAUCGGCCGUCGAUACUCCCGUGCUUGAGCACUGUAGAGGCAGAUGGAAUUCCGGGUGUAGCGGUGGAAUGCGUAGAGAUCCGGAGGAACACCGAUGGCGAAGGCAGAUCUCUGGGCCGUAACUGACGCUGAGGAGCGAAAGCGUGGGGAGCGAACAGG